GAGAAGAAAACAAACCCAAAAAUCCUUCACCUGCUGGUUUAGGCUUUAUUGCUUUUAAGUCAGUAGUAUAGCCUACAUAUCCUUGUUGUUCAGCAAUGUUUGGUUUAACAAAAUUACUUAGUUGACAGACCCCAAAGAGAGGGGGAAAAAACACUGUUAUCAAGAGAAUUAGAAGUACUCGUUGAAUCCAAUUUUCUGAUUAAAGAUGAAUGGGCUCAGACAACAAAAUUUUGGGUGGAUUGGACCAUCUUAAGCCUGG
rnacentral:lncRNA from 1 species